rnacentral:lncRNA from 1 species
ACAGAAGCUAGAAAGAACCCACAUGCCCCUCAACAGAGGGAUGGAUACAGAAAAUGUGGUACAUUUACAUAAUGGAGUACUACCCAGCUAUUAAAAAGAAUGAAUUUAUGUAAUUCCUAGGUAAAUGGUUGGACCUGGAGGGCAUCAUCCUGAGUGAGGUAACCCAAUCACAAAAGAACUCACACAACACGUACUCACUGAUAAGUGGAUAUUAGCCCAGAAACUUAGAAUAACCACGAUAUAAGAUACAGUUUGCUAGACACAUGAAACUCAAGAAGAACGGAGACCAAAGUGUGGACACUUUGCCCCUUCUUAGAAUUGGGAACAAAACACCCAUGGAAGGAGUUACAUAGACACAGUUUGGAGGUGAGACGAAAGAAUUGACCAUCUAGAGACUGCCAUAUCUGGGGAUCCAACUCAUAAUCAGCUUCCAAAAGCUGACACCAUUGCAUACACUAGCAAGAUUGUGCUGAAAAGACCCAGAUAUAGCUGGCUCUUGUGAGACUAUGCCGGAGCCUAGCAAACACAGAAGUUGAUGCUCACAGUCUGCUAUUGGUUGGAUCACAGGGCCCCCAAUAGAUGAGCUAGAGAAUGUAACCAAGGAGCUAAAGGGAUCUGCAACCCUAUAGGUGGAACAACAAUAUCUACUACCCAGUACCUACCAGAACUCGUGUCUCUAGCUGAAUAUGUAUCACAAGUAGGCCUAGUUGGUAAACAGUGGAAAGAGAGGCCCAUUGUUCAUGCAAACUUUAUCUGCCUCAGUACAGGGGAACACCAGUGCCAAGAAGUGGGAGUAGGUGGGCGAGAUUGUGUGGGCCUUUCGGGAUAGCAUUGGAAAUGUAAAUGAAAUAAAUACCU